rnacentral:rRNA from 1 species
AUUGAACGCUGGCGGCAGGCCUAACACAUGCAAGUCGAGCGGAUGAAGGGAGCUUGCUCCUGGAUUCAGCGGCGGACGGGUGAGUAAUGCCUAGGAAUCUGCCUGGUAGUGGGGGAUAACGUCCGGAAACGGGCGCUAAUACCGCAUACGUCCUGAGGGUGAAAGUGGGGGAUCUUCGGACCUCACGCUAUCAGAUGAGCCUAGGUCGGAUUAGCUAGUUGGUGGGGUAAAGGCCUACCAAGGCGACGAUCCGUAACUGGUCUGAGAGGAUGAUCAGUCACACUGGAACUGAGACACGGUCCAGACUCCUACGGGAGGCAGCAGUGGGGAAUAUUGGACAAUGGGCGAAAGCCUGAUCCAGCCAUGCCGCGUGUGUGAAGAAGGUCUUCGGAUUGUAAAGCACUUUAAGUUGGGAGGAAGGGCAGUAAGUUAAUACCUUGCUGUUUUGACGUUACCAAAAGAAUAAGCACCGGCUAACUUCGUG